rnacentral:rRNA from 1 species
CAAACGACUCUCGGCAACGGAUAUCUCGGCUCACGCAUCGAUGAAGAACGUAGCAAAAUGCGAUACUUGGUGUGAAUUGCAGAAUCCCGUGAACCAUCGAGUUUUUGAACGCAAGUUGCGCCCGAAGCCAUUUGGCCGAGGGCACGCCUGCCUGGGCGUCACGC